rnacentral:snoRNA from 1 species
UCUCAGUGCUGAACACUGUCCCAUUCCACUAUUGACUUGACCUGCUGAUUAAGUAUUAUCUGAGGAGA